rnacentral:rRNA from 1 species
GAUUACGACCAUACCGCGUUGAAAGCACGCCAUCCCGUCCGAUCUGGCAAGUUAAGCAACGCUGGGCUUCCUUAGUACUUGGAACGGAGACGUCCUGGGAAUCGGGAGUGUCGUAAUCUUUUUUU